CCUUCAGCUCUGUCAGCUUGUGAAACAGCCUGUGGUGCACUGGGUUUCCAAAAUGAGGACAAAGGACUGCCAGGGGCCAAUAUGGGAGUUUCCAGGGGCCCAGCAUUAGCUUUAACCUACUAUGGAUUCACUUCCACAUAAGAAAAGGUGGCUGUUGAAGCUGUCCAGUUCAUCCGGGUAGAACACCUCUCCUCCUCCUCCUCCUCCUCCUCCUCCCUCUUCUUCUUUCUGCUUGGAUUUCUUCCGUUUCAGCUUGAACGACAGCAGCCGCUUUCCUUUCUUUUCUUUAGGGGAUACGGGUAAAACAUCACCGGACAACGUGACGUUGGGUCCCGGGCUGAGGGGACCGGAGGUCGCAGGUAAAGUCCCCGACUUGUCCCUGGGGCUGGUGGCUGCUCCAUCCUGGAGGGAGCCCCCCCUUCUGCUCCUUGCUCUGUUUAUCAGGGGACUUGACUUUAAACAGGUUCUUCACUCUCAGGCUGCUGGACUUACUCAUGCUGUCUGUCUGCAGACCGAGUCCUGCUGCACAGAGAGCCAGCAGGGAAUGGAACCAUGAGGACAGCUGGAGGAGGAGGAGGAGAGGAGAGGAGGAGGAGGAGGAUCCACCGGGCUAACCUGCAGAGCGAGUUGCCGCGAGCGUUUCGAUUUGGCUACACCGGUCGCGCGCACCAUCAGAUUUUGUCACGAUGAUUGCAUCACAACCGUGCAAGAUGCAGUCACGAAACUCUACAGGUGUGUUGUUGGGAUUAAAAAGAAGGCUGAGUUUGAAGAUGGGUGUUUUCUGAGCAAGGGCACCGGAAGUAGGGGGUAGGAAGUGGGAAAGGGGCCACUGGCUCCCCCAUUUUACACCCCUGGCCCGAUUUGACAUCACAGCUGAUGUGAUCCCAUCACAUGACGGUCUCUAGUUUUGUUGUUGUUUGUUUUACCCCGUCGUGUCAAUCCUGUCAUGUCACCCAAUGUAUUAAGUUCUGUCAUGUUUAGUCUCAUC